CUGCUCACUUUGGCAGCACAUGUACUGGAAUUGGAAUGAUACAGAGAAGAUUAUCAUGGCUCCUGCACAAGGAUGAUGAAAAUUUGUGAAGCGUUCCAUAUUGAA
ensembl:snRNA U6 U6 spliceosomal RNA